rnacentral:misc_RNA from 1 species
AAUUCUCAAUCUCUACAAACUUGUGUUGUUAGUGGAUUGGAGGUGGGGGUUUUGUGGGUGUAUCCAUUAUAUCUACUCCCCUGAAAAUCAUUAGCUGGAAUGCCUUUGCAAACCAACUAUCAGUAUGAUAAUUAUCUACUCUGAUGUUGUUGUGAAGAGAAUCUGCUUUCAAACCGUCAUUUCUGACACUUUGAAUCC